UGAGGGAGGACACAAAGCCAUCUGUUUAAACCAACACCCCUCCUUUCUCUAAAGUAUGACCUGUUCUAUUCAUCCAGAGGCAAGAUGGAGUAGGUUAUCUAUGACCUAGGGUCCAGGUAGUUAGGAGGGUAAAACUUCGAUAAGAAAUGAUCACUGAAAGCAGCAGAAUUGAUUGGUGUUAGAGAAGAGGGGAUCCUGAGAAAUCAGCAGUAUCUUGAGAUGGAAUAGUUCAUCAAUGAUUUUAUACCUUGUUUAAUAUAAAUAUACUCACUCAAGGUCUGGAUUAUCCUCUGAGCAAGAUAUAGAUCCUUCCUAAAUCUGAUUUCUGUGAAUGGUUGAGUGCACUGACUAAAGCCGCUAGUAUGAUGGUAAAUAUUACCAGUCUCAGAGGGAAAUCUUUCACCUGGCUAUUUUGUAAAGUAUGAAUGAAUUCAGUUUACUUUCCUGCUCCAAAUACCCUAAUAUUUUCCUACAAC